rnacentral:lncRNA from 1 species
UUUCAAUACAAUCAUCAUUUUCUAUACAACUUUUCAAUCAAAAUUAGCUUGACAUUAUUCAAGAAUUAUGGAUGCCCCAACCUCCCAAGAGAUGUCGUAUGUUGAUCAUAUCAAAAGGCGACACGAAGAGAAAGGCUUUCUCUAUGCAUGGUUUGUUUAACAGAUGUUAUGUAUUUUCACUGCUAUGGAAAAAUCAUUCAAAUGAUCAAUUCAUUGUAUUUUUUCUUUUUUGUAAAGAUUAAUAUUGUUACAUGUCUGAUACAGUUUGUUCGCACUGUGUUGCUGUUUUUGCUGCUAUGAGGCUUGUGAGUGUUGUCUGGAUAUUUGCUGCUGCAACUCUGGUUAAAUUCUUCACAGGAGUGAAAGAUCCUUUGUAUGUAUUAUAUUAAUUUUUGUGUAUUUUCAGAGAUGGAAUUCUGUGCAAGAUUUUUUGGAUUAGUGACUCAUUAAUCCAAAGAUGUAAUAUAUUUUCGUGAACCUUUUGCAAUAGCUUCUGUAUUUGUAUAAUGACUAAACAUCAAAUAUGGAACAUCAUAUAAUUUUAUCAAUAUUUUAGCUGACUGGAUGAAUUUUGAAUAUGAAUAGGGUUGAGAAUCCCGAAAGAUUUAAAUGAUGAAGUAGGGUAUUGAUAUUACUUUACUCAAAACUCAUAUCACUAUCACAGUUCACCCUAUAUAACCCAUAACUAAAUCUAGCCCAGUUCACUGGCGUCACCAUUUCAUAUAGUCCCAGUAAUGCUAGACGUACAUGGCAGAGGUUAACAGGCUUUUGCCAGGACACACAUAAGGGACAAGGUCCACGGGAUUUUUAUUUUAUUUUAUUUAAUGCAGGUCGGACCCACUGACUUGCCCUCCACAGUGAGAUGCUUGUAAGGCCCCUAUAUGAAUAGUGCCAUGUACUCAGGGCAUUAUUCAUCUAGUCCUGAUUAAAUUGGCUAAUUGUUCAAAUUUCUUCAAUAUUUUAAUACACAUAGUUUUUGUUAAGGAUAAGGCACAAGGCAUUAAUAUAGCUUGGCUGAAGACUAUGGGGUGACCUCAAACUAGAACACCUAUUGUAACAUACAUAGACGAACUAUUUUUACCUUAGAGUUUUGCUAUUUGUACACUGAGUUUAACAUCACGAUAUAUAGCCCCAUCACAAUACGAGGGCCCGCGACCAAUAAAAAAAUUGCGAGCCCACUAUUGUGACGGGGCUGUACACUAAGCAAAUCCCUUUUACCUUAUCAUGUAAAAUUGAUUAGUUUUAAAAUCCCUAUGAUUUAUCUUAUCUUGUAUUCGAUUUGUAUGUAAGCUGCUGUACACUCAACGAAAAAUAAACUGGAAUCACUUCCAUUUCUAAUAACUCUCUCAGAAUUUAUUUUCAUCUCAUAUAUAUCUCUCAUUUAGUUUGGUAGUAGAGCAGUAAAACUCUCACGAGUUCUGAAAGUUUUUCCCUGUCCAUUUCUGACCCAAUCCGGCCUAAAGAUGAUGACAUGCUGAGCCUUUCCUUGCCUUUCCACUUCCUAGUUUGUAUAUAGCCAGUGAUGUCUUUUUUUCCCUUUUUUUUUAAUGGAUAUUUAGGGAUCUCUCUUGUUCAUUGAUCUUGAAGGAGAGUGUAAUAUCGUGUAUUAUUAGAAAGUUGUAUGAUGGUCCUUUCAGUCCUUUGCUUUCUUCUUGAUGAUGUCCAUUCAUCACCUAAUCCAUCCCCCUUUCCAGUACCUUCUCCCUUGCUAACGAGUCAGCCACCAACGAAACCACUACUACAUAAAGCACGAAUAUUCAGUCUUCCUCCCAGGUUCAAUUUAAACCCGUCACUCAACUCUCCUAGAAACUCACCUCCAGCCUAGAAAGUUUUCCCUAUUCUAUGGAAUAACCUGCUGGGAUAUCUUGAUGACUCUUCUGUAUUUCCACUGGAAGGAAUUCCCACCUAUGGCACCACCAACCCAAACCUCGAUCACACCUUCUUGAAAAACGUCAAGACAAACUCAACAUUCAUUCCCUUCUUGAAAGCAUAAUUCCACUUAUCUCCUCUGCUUCCAUGAAAAAUGAAGCCUGGNAAAAUCAGUGCCCAUUGAUAACAUAAUUAGAAUGUGACAUCACAUAUCUAGGCCAACAUACAAGCCACUUCAAUGUACUUGACAUUAUACAAUUGUCUUGUUUGCCUUUCUCUUCAAACAAAGAACUACAAAUCUCGAUAUCUCUCAUUUGUAGUAAGCUUUCAUUCUUGGCAAUACUGCUAUCUAAAUUUUUAAUAUCCUCUUUAUGCUUCCUAUAUAGAAAUAAAUAAAUAAACAAUAAGACAAAUUUAUGAGACAACGUUAAUCAUUAUUAAAUACAUUAUAUAUGGUUCAACUGCAACGCUGUUAAACUACACAGAAUGAUGAGGGACGUCAAAAAUUUCUUCACUCAAAGGCUUUGACAUUCCUUUGGAAAUUGUAACUCUAUCAAUAAUUAUUUCAUUCUUGAAGUCCUCAUUCUAAGUAUGUUGAGCACCUACUUCAGCAGCUUGUUUCAUAUAACCACUACAAAAAUGCAUUCAUUGACUAACUAACGCUCUGUUGUGUAGCCUUUAGGUCGUGAGUGAUUUCUACAGAUUCUUUAAUUGUCUUUAUAAACCUAAUUGGUGACACAGUAGGUAUGAGAUACCUAAAUAAUUUGAAGUUAAAAGGUUGAAUAAUUAUAAAAGUAUAAUUAUGAAUUGAUAGUAAGUUACUUCUCAAAUGGGUACAUCCAACGAUACUAGUCCAUCAAUACAGACUUCAGGUCCAAGGUGAAUGUUUAAAUGAAUCAUUAUGUCAAAACAAGGGUAAAAACGACCAAAAAAAAUGAAAGAUGUGGAUGUUUUGCACAAUAAUAAUGAAAGGUAUAGAUAUUUUGUGCUAAUUACCCUUUUAAUAAUUUAUUUGGACUCAUUUGUACUUUUUAAAAAAGUUUGGGAAUAUGAUUGCAAUUUAUUCGUUAACUUUUCUUUUCUUUUUUAUUGUUUUAUUUAAAUAGGAGGUAUAUUUGUCAUUUUACAUGAAAAAUUUAAUGAAAAUGAUGAUUUCUACAAUAAAAUAUGAAGAUAAAGGUAAAAGUGCCAAAAAAUGAAAGGUAGAGACGUUUUGCACAAUAACAUUGAAAAGUAAAGACGUUUUAUUCGAAUUACCCUUUUUAACAAAGGUUUGUACAUGAACUUAAUUUUUUUUUUUAAUGUCAAAAUUCUAAAUGUGGUCCAAAUCAUGACAAACAGCCUAAAUAAAUGUAUGAGUUGUCUUUUAUCAAACUUGCAUUGAUGAAUUGUGAACUGUGAACUAACUUGUAUACAUUUAUUAUGGUGCAACAAAAUUCAAUUUGAUCACAGCCAAAUAUUUGCUAUAUUGUUUCUGAUUUCUCGCCACUUUAUUUUUCUAAAAGAGAAAACGAAAAGAAGAAGGAAUUUAUUUUUAUUUUAUUAUUAUUUUUUUAGUCAACAACCCCCCGUUGUUAUAGAACAUGUACUUAGAUCACAAUAAAACAUAGCAGGUAAAUAAUUGCACCUCCAUGCUCGGUUUGUAGAUUUUCUUUUCAGUGAUAUCUAUNAACGUGUUAAAUUUUUUAUUUUUUAUUUUAAAUCAAAGAUCAAACAUGUGAAUGAAUUUUGUUGAAAAGACAAAAAAUAUAUUACAAAAUUCUACUUAUUACAUUAUUUUAUAUUUUAAACUAGCUCUGGGUCUCGAUAAUUUGUUUUGGGUCAUUGAUUGUAUCACACUUAUUGUCCUCAUUAUUUAUCCUUUUUGAAUAAUUGAGCUCUCCUAUUUAAGAAAGGUCCACGUUUAAUGUUCUUAUUGGAUGUUAUUAGACCCUACGUCCAUUAUAGCUUCUACCAUUUUCAUAUUUUAUAUGGAUCAUGGAUAAUGUAUAUUUUUCAGUUCUUAUCAGUUGAAAAUUACCUAAUCUUGAUAACAUAUAUAAAAUUCAAAAAUGAAAAGUAAUUUGUGUUAAAAAAAUAAGAGACCAAAGACAAAAUUAUCCUGAGGCUUAAGUGCAUGUUUUGAUUGAGCUACAUAUGUUUUAAAAUAAAUAAUUUUUUGUUAGUUGAAGUUAAAAAUAAAGAAUUUAUUUAUUAUGAAUCCUACUUUAUCGUUACAAGUAAUUUAUUUUUGCUUAAAAGUUAUUAAAAAAAAAAUUAGCACAUCUACGUGUUCUGUACAAAAUAUUAUAUAAAGUAGUUUGAAAAUUUUUAAAGCUUCGCAUUACAUGCUCUUAUUUUCAAAACAAAUAUCUUUUCACUGAUUCAAGUAAAAUAAAUAAGUUCAUUGUUUGAGAUUAAUCUAUGCCCAAUUAUCUAGAUAAGUUACUUGUUUAGUUACAAAAUAAUAUAAUAUCCAAACAUGGUCAGAAAUAAAAUUUAUAUCAAGUGGCAUAUGCUAUAUUCCUUCCAAUAUCUCUCUAUAUAUACACACUUAUACACACAUGUACACACACAAAACAGCUAACCCAGCUUUAUAUUUUCAAAACAAUCAUCAUUUUCUAUACAACUUUUCAAUCAAAAUUAGCUUGAAAUUAUUCAAGAAUUAUGGAUGCCCCAACCUCCCAAGAGAUGUCGUAUGUUGAUCAUGUAAAAAGGCGACACGAAGAGAAAGGCUUUCUCUAUGCAUGGUGUGUUUAACAAAUGUUAUGUAUUUUUACUGCUAUAGGAAAAUCAUUAAAAUGAUCAAUUCAUUGUAUUUUUUCUUUUUUUGUAAAGAUUAAUAUUGUUACAUGUCUGAUACAGUUUGUUCGCACUGUGUUGCUGUUUUUGCUGCUAUGAGGCUUGUGAGUGCUGUCUGGAUAUUUGCUACUGCAACUGUGGUUAAAUUCUUCACAGGAGUGAAAGAUCAUUUGUAUGUAUUAUAUUAAUUUUUGUGUAUUUCCAGAGAUGGAAUUCUGUGCAAGAUUUUUUGGAUUAGUGACACAUUAAUCCAAAGAUGUAAUAUAUUGUCGUGAACCUUUUGCAAUAGCUUCUGUAUUUGUAUAAUGACUAAACAUCAAAUAUGGAACAACAUAUAAUUUUAUCAAUAUUUUAGCUGACUGGAUGAAUAUUUGAAUAUGAA